GGGGUUGUGGCUCAGCGGUAGAGUGCUUGCCUUGCACGUGAGACCCUGGGUUCAAUCUUCAGCACCACA
rnacentral:tRNA from 1 species